AGGACUAACGCUGGCGGCGUGCCUAACACAUGCAAGUCGAACGAGAGUAGCAAUACUCUAGUGGCAGACGGGUGAGUAACACGUGGUCAACCUACCUUUAAGUGGGGGAUAACUAGCCGAAAGGUUAGCUAAAUACCGCAUACGAUCUUCGCGUGGCAUCACACGAAGAUGAAAGGAGCAAUCCGCUGAAAAAGCGGGACCGCGUCCCAUUAGCUAGAUGGUGGGGUAACGGCCUACCAUGGCGACGAUGGGUAGCUGGCUUGAGAGAGCGACCAGCCACACUGGGACUGAGACACGGCCCAGACUCCUACGGGAGGCAGCAGUGAGGAAUUUUCCGCAAUGGGCGAAAGCCUGACGGAGCGACGCCGCGUGUGGGAAGAAGGCCUUCGGGUCGUAAACCACUGUCGAAGGGGAAGAUAUUGACGGUACCCUUGGAGGAAGCCCCGGCUAACUACGCGCCAGCAGCCGC
rnacentral:rRNA from 1 species